GGAAAAGCAGGUGUGAAUCUGUGAUUAAUGCCGAAGAGGACCCAUCAAAGGAGCAGAAAAGAUCUGGCUGGAGAGACUGAGAACAGAAGGCCAAAUGUGGCAGAAGCAAUGACGAGCGUACCCUGCCGAGCAGACCUCAAGACGUUGCGUCCUCUCGAAUCCUGCCACCAGCACCUAAAUGAGCCUCGGCUAGCCUGAUGGAUGAUGGGAGAUAAAUGGCCCAGUUGUCCCCCCUGCCUGGCGAAUAGCCAGCCAGUGUCCAGAAGAAAAGCCACUUCAUGGACCUACAGCACACCAAGACGCAUGAGCGUGUGUACUUAGGGAAGAGCAGCCCAGCUGAGCCCAACCAAAUUUGCUGACCCACAGAAUCACAAAUAAAUGCUGCUUAAGUCAC